ensembl:misc_RNA Metazoa_SRP Metazoan signal recognition particle RNA
GCCAGGCACGGUGUACGUGCCUAUAGUCCCAGCUACUCAGGAGGCUGAGACUGGAGGAUCACUUGAGCCCAGGAGUUCUGGGCUGUAGUGCACUAUGCUGAUCAGAUGUCCCCACUAAGUUUGGCAUAAAUAGGGUGACCUCCUGGGAGCGGGGGACCACCAGUUUGCCUAAGGAGGGGUGAACCGGCCCAGGUCAGAAACGGAGCAGGUCAAAACUCCUGUGUUGAUCAGUAGUGGAAUCCCCUGUGUGAACAGCCACUGCACUCCAGCCUGGGCGACAUAGCGAGACUCCGUCUCUU